UAAGUCACGUCAUCAUACGUCACUGAAUAGCGUCAUCGGUCACGUCACUGCGUACGGGGACGAGCCGGAGCGCCUGUAAGAGCCAGCCUUAACCUUCCUCAGUUAGUCGCCUACCAGAGGGACGAUCUGCCGGGUGUGAGAAAGUUCUACAAGGAGAGAGAAUGAGCCAAGUGAGUCUUUAACAGCAUUAAGAUGCGAUGAAGGCCAGGCCUGGAAUCCCGUGACUCAGUUUCCUCGUUCUGUAAGUGUGAAAAAUGCCACCUAACCUGCCUGCACUGGAAAGGUGUGAAUUUAAGACGAGAUAAUAUGUGCGGUGCUGCCGGAGAACCCGGUCUUAUUCGAACUUUUAAUUUCAAGACCCUGGCGGAAGCCCGUCCAUAACUGCUACUCAUUCCACCUCCCAGGACUACCAGAUGUGUAGAACCCAUUAGACUUCUUCUUUCGCAUAAGAGACGGUAGAGCAAGGACAGCAGGAACUGCGGACUUCGAAGUCACAGGCUAGAGAGUCCUCUCCCUUGAAAGUUAGGUUCUUAUCUGGAUUUGAAGAUGGAAGAUAAUUUCAAGCAGAGACGUCUUAAAUAGGAAGUGAAAAUGAACAGAAACAGCUUAGGCUGGACCAGAGACUCCCAUUUAGAGGCCAUUGUAGCAUCCUAGAGAAGUGAUCAGAACCGCUAAGGCACUGGGAGUGGGACUGUAAACAUGGAGGCCAGCGCCAGGAUUCUAAUGCGGGUGCUGAGAUAGGUGGGCAGAACAUUUGGCAAAAUGGAAAGAAAGAUGCCUUUGUGUCUGCAGGUGCGUGAGUUACUGAGCGGUAAUGAGGUUCCUGACCGAUGACUGUGGUAGACCAACGAGUUGGAAUGUGAAUGAAUACGCUGGUUGGGGAAACACACUCCUCUCAAAUCUUAUGUGCAAUGAUAUCCAUUAAUUGAAUACCACCCAGUUAGCCUUGAAAAUGGAUCAAAAGAGGGCAGGAAGCUAGUGGAUCACAAUAGCCAUAAGAAACUAGCACCGUCAACAAUAAAGACGACUGUUUCCUGGUGCAUUCUCCAUUCUCUAGGGAAAAAAAUCACAGUUUCUCAGGUUGCUUCACAGACUCAGCACUGUGACUAUGGACCCCCACAUUUAGAGGAAAAUGUUCAAGCCAAAUUGCACAGGUCUGUGACAGCUGAGAGAAGUUGAAGUUUGGAGGAGGUUAAGCCCUGCGCAUGGAUGAGAUCAAUCAAGGCAAAAAUACAACGUAAACUUUUAUGUUAGACUGAGUUGCUUAUAGCAGCAUUCUUAAAAACCUACUAAGGCCAUUUCACCAAACACUCGGGGUUAGUGUAGGCUGUGCUACUUCUACCGAGACAGCUAUGGCUAUCACUCAAUUACAAAAGCCAUUCAGUCUGGAGGAGAGGUAAACACGUGGGUAGUUAGCUAGUUGCCAUAAUGGGUGUUUGUUUGUUUGGGGUUUUUUGUUAAGGUGUGUGCAUACUAUAGCAGACUAAUGAAAGCUGAAACAGUUAAUAGACCAAAGUUUAGACCAUGACAGACAGUCCCUUUCUAGGAAGCCUUCUAUCAGAGUCCUAAAUGGAUUAAAUGCUCUUUCUCCUCACUGCUAAUAUAAUACCCACCACUGUAGUUACUGUAACAAUGACGCUCCCUACAUGCCAGGCAUCCCGUUUCUGCACCUGUGCUCCUGUUUUAGUGUUACAGGCAGCACUAGCUCAUUCAAGUCUUGUCGGAGCCCGAUGAGGUUACUGUGAGCUAGACACAGAAGGGAUGCAGAGAGGAAAGUGGGUUUCAGGUUUCGGGGAGCUCAGUGCGGCAGCCUCCGCUUUAAACACUCAUCUUCCAUUCUGAGAACUCAGGAGCCGCUGUGAUGGACAGUUCAUGUAUGGAACGUUUGGGUUAUUGCAGAAAGUUCUGUUGGAAUCAUAGGAAAAUGGGCAGAUGCCCACGGGAGCUCUGGUACAGAACACGCAUGUGCCACCCUCAGGACAAUCAGUGUUGGCCAAAGGAGAAGAUACUUGAGAUUCUCGGUUGUGUCCUAGUUUCAUCCAGUAAAAGUAAAUACCUGCUGAAAAAACACAAGUUUCCAAAACCUUUGGCAGAGAAAAACGCUAAGGCAGAUGUUCCCAAAGAGGAAAAUGGGGCAAAGGAACAAAGUCUGCUCUGCAUAAAACAGAAAAAUACAGACUGUCAAAAAAAGUAUGGAAAAACAUUUCACUUGUCCCCAGGGAUAUUGGGUCAAAGAGACUGUGGACUUCUACAGCUUCCUUGGAAAGGAAUCUGUCAAUAUCGACUCCAAUUGAAACGUACCUGCUGGUAGAUCUUCCAGGAAACCCAUUCUCUCUGAAAACUGCACCCCACACACACCACUGAGGAUUUUUGCUAUGAUUCUAGCUACAUUUUAAGUUUUUGUUUUAUUUUGUAUUUUGAGACAGGGUUUCUCUGUGUAGCCCUGGCUGUCCUGGAACUCACUCUGUAGACCAGAUUAGCCUUGAACUCAGAGAUCUGCCUGCCUCUGUCUCUUGAGUGCUGGGAUUAAAGCAUGCACUACUAGCACCUGGCAACUAGUUGCAUUUAAAAAAAUAAUAAAGUGGAAGCAUCUAGAGUGUUCUUCAGUAGGAAAGUAAGCUGGGUGAGUUAUGAAAUACAUUAUGGAUUAUUUUUCAGUUAAUAAAAACACAUGUACAUUAA